UCUAAUAUGGCAGACUAGUGCGAUGGAUUUAAGCUCCAUAUAUAAAGACCUCUCUUUUAUUAGAA
rnacentral:tRNA from 1 species